UGUGUGGCGGAAUUGGUAGACGCGCUGGACUCAAAAUCCAGUGAUAGCAAUAUCGUGUGGGUUCGAGUCCCACCACA
rnacentral:tRNA from 1 species